UACGUAGGGCGCAAGCGUUUAUCCGGAAUUAUUGGGCGUAAAGAGCUCGUAGGCGGUCUGUUGCGUCCGCUGUGAAAACUCGGGGCUUAACCCCGGUUCUGCAUUCGAUACGGGCUGGCUAGAGUGUGGUAGGGGAGAUCGGAAUUCCUGGUGUAGCGGUGAAAUGCGCAGAUAUCAGGAGGAACACCGGUGGCGAAGGCGGAUCUCUGGGCCUUACCUGACGCUGAGGCGCGAAAGCUAGGGGAGCAAACGGG
rnacentral:rRNA from 1 species